AUUCCAGCUCCAAUAGCGUAUAUUAAAGUUGUUGCGGUUAAAAAGCUCGUAGUUGGAGUUCUGCCAGGUGCCACCUGUCCGCCCCAGUGGUGAGUACGUGGUGCGCAUUUGGCCCUUUCAAGGGGAGCGUAUUUGCACUUAAUUGUGUGGUGCGGGAUCCUUGACUUUUACUUUGAGGAAAUAAGAGUGUUCCAAGCAGGCUCUCGUCGUGCAUAGCUCAGCAUGGAAUAAUAGCAUUGGACCUCGAUUCUAAGCUGUUGGUUGCCAGAAGCGAGGUAAUGAUGAAGAGGGAUAGUUGGGGGCAUUCGUAUUUAACUGUCAGAGGUGAAAUUCUUGGAUUGCUUAAAGACUAACUUCUGCGAAAGCAUUUGCCAAGGAUGUUUUCAUCG
rnacentral:rRNA from 1 species